rnacentral:lncRNA from 1 species
GGGGAAUAAUUUAAUGAGAUAUUUUAAUGAACAGUGUUGGUCAUCUUCAAGUAAAACUAUAUAGCAGUAAAAUACCAGCAGUGAUAGCCACAUGGUCUAUUUUCAUAAAAUAGUGAAAUAAUAGGUCUAAAAUUAGUGAAUUAUAUACAGAAUAGAAAUCCCUAGAAUACAGUAUUAAGUGGAAAAUUUUUCUUUGCAUUUCUCUAUUCUAAUAAAAUACAGAAAUAUUCUUCUUAAACAUGCAUUUUUCUACCUAAUGGUAUCUAUUUAGUUAAUAAAAUUUAUUUAAGUAGAAACAUCAAAUAAAGAUAUGACCAAUACACUUGUGGAAUACAGUUAAUUAAGAUCCUCUUCACAUUAAAUUGUAGGGACCAUCCUUGUUUCUCAGAUGACUGGCACAGUGCCUGACAUACAUAAGAUGCUCAAUAAAUGUUUAAUGAAUAACUAAGUACAAUCUGUUUUGCACAUACAUUCGAAAUACAGACAAGUUUGCAAAGGUACAUAAGUUGGACAUAGGCUUUCUGGCUGACUUCCUGGGGUCCCACUGAUGACUAGGAGUAAAUCUUCAUAUCCAUAGAAAACUGGAAAGUUGAUAAUUGUCUGGGUAAGGACCAAAAAAACAAAGUCAGGGAAACAUGUCACCUAAGUAACGGUUGCUUUAUAGAGCUGGUAAAAGCAGCCUAAUUAUUCCAAUAACCUAUUGUACCAGUUACUCAAUGAAAUGAAAUCUAAGUGUAUUCUGAAUGUUUGCUAGAAUCUUUUUAACAGGAAUUUUUUUGAUUAACCUUUAUUUAAAAUAAAUCAUUUUCAUCAAGUUGUAGCCCAUACAGAAUAUGUUUUUACUUAUUAUGAAUACUAUUGGUUAACAGGAUUUAAUUUGGCUAUUCGAAAAAGGGAGAACCACAGUGAAGUUAGAAAAAAUCUUCAUAGUAGUGAAUAAAUUGUAGCAGGAAGGAAAGGAAAAAGGAUGAAAAAGAAGGAAUUCCAUAUCUGAGAGUGAAGAAAUUCAAAUAUUCCUAACUCUAAUAUCAAUUAUGACAAACAACCAGUAGGGCCUACAGUGAACUAGACAUUGUGCUAUGAGGGAACAAGAAAAAAUCUUUAGUCCUACUUAAGCAGUUCACCGAAGAAGAAUCACAAGUAAACAUUUAUAUUACAAUAUGCAUUCUUCAUAUACAUAUAUAUAUAUAAAGAGAGACAGGGAAGGGGAGAGAAGGAAUGAGAGAGAAUGAAAGAGAUAGAGCUUCUUAAUACAAAAGUAAGAGAUGUACUUACUCUUACUUGAUUAAUAAGAAGUACAAAGGAAAAAUAAGCAUUAGGGAAAGCUGAAAUAUCUCAAAAUAAUAAUAAUCCAUAUGAGAGAAAUCAGUACCUCUUAAAAACUCAACAGAUUAUUGAAUUAUAUGGACAAAACUGAGGCUUUACAGACAUCUCAUAUUCUUAGAAUGUCUUCAUUUAACCUUUAAGUGCCAUACACAGACUGUGCACAACAGUUUCAUUUCUGACAAAAAAUAAUGAGGUAGUAUGGCAAAGUGAGUAUCAAGAAUCAGAGUUCUCUUGUCUAUGUGCUGUCCGCUUACAGGCCUUGGAACUCUGGGCAAGUUCCUUGAACUCUCUGAACUUUAGCAAUAUGGAAAAUAAAGAGUUGGAUAAAGUGACAUCCAAGAUAUCACCCAGUUGAAAAUUACAAUUCUAAAAUACAUCUUAAUACUUAAAAAUAAGCCAUAAUAAAAAUACAUAGUUUUCUAAGGGUAGAUCUUCAUCCAACUUAGAGGAGGUGUGGAAUCUUCAAACCAUAUAGCCUUACCCUGGGUUGGGGUAUGGAAUGUUUUCAAAGGAAAACAGAAACAAAGUUAAGAUAUUAUAAUCAAGCUGUUGAUUUUCACUCAGCUGCCAACUGGGACAGCACCACCCCAAUUACCUACAAAAUUCACUCUACUUAAAAAUGAUUUCUUGGAAUUCCCGUCGUGGCUCAGUGGUUUAAAGAAUCUGACUAGGAACCAUGAGGUUGUGGGUUUGAUCCCUGCCCUCGCUCAGUGGGUUAAGGAUCCAGUGUUGCCAUGAGCUGUGGUGUAGGUCGCAGAUGCGGCUUGGAUCUGGCAUUGCUGUGGCUCUGGCAGAGGCCAGGAGCAAUUAGACCCCUAGCCUGGGAACCUCCAUAUGCCUCGGGUGCAGCCCUAGAAAAAGACCAAAAAAAAAAAAAAAGAUUUCUUCACUAAGUUUUACUUUCCAUCUCUUAGGUUAAGGUUGCUGAAGUAUUAAGAUGAGGACAAGAAAUCCUAGGUGGAUCUGGAACAGUAGUAUUGCUGGAAGACAAACUUGAACUUGGCACAGAUUUCUGCUUAAGUGUACCAAUUAAAUCUCAGAAAAAGGUACAAAACUGUUCAAAAUUUAUAAUAGAAAGGAGGGAACUAGGACCAUGAUGUUCACUGCUACACAGCUUUUUUUUUCCUGUGUGUAAAUGUCUACUUUCGCACUCAAUCAGUAAUUAAGAUUUUACAGAACAAGUUUCUGCAUAUGCAAUGCUUUUCCUGUCACUAAAAUAUAGGCAUAUUACGUUUUGGUUGUACCGUUAAGAAAACAAAAAAUUAAAAGUAUUAUUAUGUCUAAUAUUUAUGUCAAAUAUCCUUCGAGAUUAUUUUUCUUCAAUCCUUUCUAGUUGAUCAAAUUGCUGUUUUCAUAUUGCCAGUCUGAUCACAAAAUUGCUGCUUUACAGGAGAAUAUUUUUUGCUGACAUAAAUUAUGGGAUCAGAGAUACCAAUGCAGUUACAAAAAAGGGUGUGUGUGAGAGAGAAAGUGAGUGAGUGUGUGUGUGUGUAUGAAUGUGUGCAUCCAUCUUUAAGGAAAGGAUAAAGAAAUGUACAUAUGAAACAAAAUACCACUUUCCAAUGUAAGCCCUGGUAAAAGGCCUACAUCAGAAACAUACUUUCUAACAUUUGUGAAAUCAAAUACUGUACUAGAUUUGAAAAUCUUUCACUAAGAACAUGCCAAGUGAAAAUGGAGAAUAGAUAUUUUUAUCAAGAUUAUUACUCUAUAAACCUAAAUUUGGAUUUAUCUUUCAAUUAACAUCUACAAUGCAUAUACUAACUACAACAUCAUGAUUUCUUCGACUCAGAAAACCAUAUUUUAGAAAUUUUUCUCCUUUCACAUAUAGUGAGCAAUUUGGUUCAGUACCCCCAAGAGAUAAAAAACUCAUCUCAAUUUACAACAGUAAAUAAAUAAUUCAGUUAAAACUGAAAGUGGUACCAAUCCAGCAAACUAUUGAUGGAGAGGUUUGGCCUUCCAUGAAGCCAGAACAACAUAAAAGUUUUCAAUGGGGAUUACUUGUUCAGACAAGUUGCAAAGAUUAGGAAAAUACCCAUAUUAUGAAAUAGCGAAUAUUCUCAUCUUAUGUAAAAUAAAUAUCAGGAACGUAGCUACAGAGAGACAAUACCAGCGGCAUUUAAACUUUAAGUAUUUUGAGCUAUGAACUUCAUAUGCUAAUAUAUGAACAAACAUUUAACAAAAAAAAGCAAUAAUACAAGCCAAAACCUAACCAAAGGCCUCUAUCACCAAAAAUUUGAAAUUUUCUAUGCAAGUCAGACAAAACGAAUAAAGGAAAAUUAAACCCAGAAAGCAAAAACCAAUCAAGUCUGUUCCAACACUGAAGUCAACAUCCAAAUCACAUACAGAACCAAAAAGGGGAAAACACUCAGGUCUACAAAUGGAUAAGCAGUUCCGAUACAAUCCAGAUCCCGACAUUUUCCCACACAGAAACAAAUGCAGCAGAGCUUUUCCUAGGAAAAAAGGAAAAAAGCUCUCCAAAUGAUUUUUUAAAGUGACAUCUAGAAAGUGUGCCUCUUUCUGUCUCUUUCCCUGGCGCCUCAUUGGAGGAAGGAGGGGGUUGUUUUUGUAUUCUCCCCCACUGGAGCAAGACACAAUCAGAUGUUAGCUGGAGGAGAGAAACCACUUUUGACAACAGCAAAUAAAAAUAAAAAGUGCCCUUCCUCCUCUGACAGGAUGGGCACCCACCUCACACACCCCUCCCCACUCCUACUCCUCCUUCACCACCCCCCCAGCACCACCCCCUCCUCACCCGGGAGCUCCACUGCGUAUGAAGGCAAUGAAGCCCCCACAGACACACUUACCUUUCCUGCCCCCCACUUUUGAGUGCCUUCCCUGGAGCUGUGGAGGAUGACACAAAGGGUAAUAAAGAGGGGGGGAGUGGAGGAGGAGGAGGAGGCGAAGGAGGAGGAGAGCUGGGGAAGUGGCUGCUCCUGGGUGUAGUGAGAUGUCUCCAGCCAGGGCCAAGCAGCAGUAGCAGCAGCAGUAGCAGCAGCAGCAGCAGCAGCAACAGCAGCAGCAACAGCAACAGCAGCAGCAGCAGCAGCAGAGAAGGGUCUGUGUUGCUAAGAGGCUUUUGGUCUCUUUCUCUCCUCUCACGGCCAAAGAGGAGGAGGAUGGAGAGGGCUCGGGAGGGAGGCUAGUGGAGGGGUGAGGGGGUAGGAGUCGUGGAUGGGGGGGUUUGGAAGAAGAAGAAACUCCUUCUCCUUCUUUCUCAGGCUCAAUCCCCCUCUCAGGUCUCAGGGCUGGAGGGUGGGGGAAGGAACUCAGCCGCCUUCCCCCCACCCCCCUCAAUUCAAGGUUGAAGUGGGGUAAAAUUAGUGUCCUGUCCCUUUAAAAAUAGAAAUAAAAGGUGCCCCCCCUCUGCCACUGCCUCUCUCUUCAUCAUCAGCUGCUGCUGCUGCUGGGGUCUCU